GUUAAGUUAGAAAGGGCGCACGGUGGAUGCCUUGACACUAGGAGUCGAUGAAGGACGGGACUAACGCCGAUAUGCUUCGGGGAGCUGUAAGUAAGCUUUGAUCCGAAGAUUUCCGAAUGGGGAAACCCGG
rnacentral:rRNA from 1 species